rnacentral:rRNA from 1 species
UACGUAGGGGGCAAGCGUUGUCCGGAAUCAUUGGGCGUAAAGAGCGUGUAGGCGGCCAGAUAAGUCCGCUGUGAAAUCUCGAGGCUCAACUUCGAGCUGUCGGUGGAAACUGUCUGGCUAGAGUCCGGAAGAGGAGAAUGGAAUUCCUGGUGUAGCGGUGAAAUGCGCAGAUAUCAGGAGGAACACCAAUGGCGAAGGCAGCUCACUGGAACGGUACUGACGCUGAGGCGCGAAAGCGUGGGGAGCGAACAGG